rnacentral:rRNA from 1 species
UCCGCUGACGAGUGGCGCACGGGUGCGUAACGCGUAUGCAAUCUGCCUAUAACUGAGGGAUAGCCCAGAGAAAUUUGGAUUAAUACCUCAUAAUAUUGUUUUUUGGCAUCAUUAAACAAUUAAAACUUCGGUGGUUAUAGAUGAGCAUGCGUCCUAUUAGCUUGUUGGUAAGGUAACGGCUUACCAAGGCGACGAUAGGUAGGGGGCCUGAAAGGGUGAUCCCCCACACUGGUACUGAGACACGGACCAGACUCCUACGGGAGGCAGCAGUGAGGAAUAUUGCGCAAUGGAGGAAACUCUGACGCAGCCAUGCCGCGUGCAGGAAGACGGCCCUACGGGUUGUAAACUGCUUUUAUAUAGGAAGAAACCCCGAUACGUGUAUCGGCUUGACGGUACUAUAUGAAUAAGGACCGGCUAACUCCGUGCCAGCAGCCGCGGUAGUACGGAGGGUCCAAGCGUUAUCCGGAUUUAUUAGGUUUAAAGGGUCCGCAGGCGGGAUUUUAAGUCAGU